UAGCUGGUCUGAGAGGAUGACCAGCCACACUGGAACUGAGACACGGUCCAGACUCCUACGGGAGGCAGCAGUGGGGAAUAUUGGACAAUGGGGGCAACCCUGAUCCAGCAAUGCCGCGUGUGUGAAGAAGGCCUGAGGGUUGUAAAGCACUUUCAGUGGGGAGGAGGAUUGCCAGGUUAAGAGCUAGKUAAUUGGACGUUACCCACAGAAGAAGCACCGGCUAACUCCGUGCCAGCAGCCGCGGUAAUACGGAGGGUGCGAGCGUUAAUCGGAAUUACUGGGCGUAAAGGGUGCGUAGGUGGUWGGUAAGUUAUCUGURAAAUCCCUGGGCUCAACCUGGGCAGGUCAGAUAAUACUGSUGWACUCGAGUAUGGGAG
rnacentral:rRNA from 1 species